rnacentral:rRNA from 1 species
UACGGGGGGAGCAAGCGUUGUUCGGAUUUACUGGGCGUAAAGGGCGCGUAGGCGGUCAGCACAAGUCAGUUGUGAAAUCUCCGGGCUUAACUCGGAAAGGUCAACUGAUACUGUGCGACUAGAGUGCGGAAGGGGCAACUGGAAUUCUCGGUGUAGCGGUGAAAUGCGUAGAUAUCGAGAGGAACACCUGCGGCGAAGGCGGGUAGCUGGGCCAACACUGACGCUGAUGCGCGAAAGCUAGGGGAGCAAACGGG